UGGAAGGAGAGCUUUAACUGGAGAAUCCUCUCUCCUGCAUAAACAAACAAAGCCUUUCAACACCAUUUGCGAGGCUUCUUAAGAGGAGCUGGGAAUCUGGCUGGCCUCUAUUGUUUACCAACCCCUUCCUGUGGACACAGGUGGCAGAUGCCAGCUCAGGUCGAGCAGGCCAGGCUUUUGCCAACAUCCCAGUGAGGGUGUCGGCCGAAGCAGAGAACAGCAAGUAGAGGAUUGUGCCUGCCUCACCCACUGACUUCAGAGCCGUCCGACUUUGGCGCUGUGAUGGAGGGCACCAAGAAGACCCGGGCUGUUGUGCUGAGGGACAAGCAGUCCAGGCCCCCUUCAAGUUCCGCAGCCGCUGGUCAUCCGACUCCGGGGCCAUGAUCGAGGGCGGGCGCCACGAAGACCCGGGCUGUUGGGCUGUUGUGCUGAAUGACAAGCAAUGCUAGACCUCUUCAAGUUCAGCAGCUGCCGGCCAUCCGACUCUGGCACCGUGACCAUGCAUGGGCGCCAAGAAGACCCGGGCUGUUUUGCUGAGGGACAAGCAGUCCUGGCUGUCUUCAGCUUUCACAGACACCGGCCGUCCGACUCUGGCACCGUGAUCGUGGGCAGGCGCCAAGAAGACCUGGGCUGUUGUGCUGAGGGACAAGCAGUCCUGGCCGUCUUCAAAUUCUGCAGCCGCCGGCCGUCCGACUGUGGCACCAAGGUUGUGGCCGGGCGCCAAGAAGACCUGGGCUGUUUUGCUGAGGGACAAGCAGUCAUGGCCCCCUUCAAGAUCCGCAGCUGCCGGCCGUCCGACUCCGGCACUGUAAUUGUGGGUGGGCGCUAAGAAGACCCGUGCUGUUGUGCUGAGGGACAAGCAGUCAUGGCCCCCUUCAAGUUCUGUAACCGCCGGCCGUUCGACUCUGGCGCCGUGAUUGUUGGCGGGUGCCAAGAUGACCCAGGAUGUUCUGCUGAAGGACAUUCCAUUGUGGCCCCGUUCAAGAUCCGCAGUCACAACAGUCUCUUUUGCAGCCUUUUCCCCUUUUGUGGACAGGUACAAGGCCCAGAACUGUCCUGGCAAGUCAGAGACUAUAACCAUCCUCAGCAACUCGCCCAUGGAUGUAGAGGUCCAAUUCUCCUUUGAGAAUGCAGAGCAAGCAGAGACAUUCCUUUUGCACCCUUGCCGCAUGACCCUGAAACCAAAGGAGAAGAAGGUUGGAGAAGGGCAGGUAGAGCGGGCACCGUUGAAGUGCCCAGGGGCUGCUCCUCCUGCUCACACUCAGAGCUCCUUUGAUUUCUUCAGUGGGGCCAUGUCCAGGAGCUGACCAUUUGGGCACACCCCACCUCCCCUGACUUCCUGGAAGACAAACUCAUCUGCAGCAUUGAGAAGAACCCGGAACCAGUGGUCUUCAGCCUGUGCUGCCAUGAGGUGGACAUGAAGCUGGACGUCAGCCCCCUGCAGCUCUCUUUUGACAAGCUGCUUCUUCACAGGCCAGUCAUCCCACAAGCACUCCAAGACUGGUGACAAAGAGAAAACAUUUGACUCUGGUUUCCGGGGCAUAGAUGGAGCUGCCCCAAGUUCCAUUCAGUGGUGAGGCUGGUGUACUCAUCCAGCAGCUGAUGCCAAGUGCCUUCCUGUCUCUGCAGGACUGAUAGCAAGACCUUGGUCGUGAAAACCAACACCCUACUGCCCAUGGCCUGGCAGCUCAGUGGGCUGGAUGACCUUGUUGAGCACUUCUCCUUGUCACAAGAUAAUGGCGUCCUUGAUCCCCGCUCAGAGUUUGAAGUGACACUGCAUUUCAAGGCUGAGCACAUUGGCAGCAUUGAGAAGAUUCUCUAAGUAGAGGUUUCAGAUACAGAAAACAUCCUGGGGCAUGUUCAGGCUAAAACCAUCGAAAUCUCUGCAGAGGUCUAUGUUUCUCUGAGCAUUGACAUGCCUGAAGGUUAGUGGAUGCCUCCCAAACAAAGCAGUCCAGGUGCACUGCAUUACCUUGGGAGGUGCAGAUGGAAGCUUGGAAUUUGGAACCAUUAAUGUCCUGGAUAAAGUGAAGAAAGUCCUGAGUCUACAGAACAAAGGAAUAUACAACACUGAGUACAGUUUCACGCAGAAGGGUGCAGGUCCUGUGAUGCAAGACUUGGCAUCCCACUUCACUGUUGAGCCUCAGUCAGGCAUGCUGAUUGCCUCCCAGCCUGAUGAGAAUGUUGAGAUGCUCUUCCACCCUGCAAGUGAAAUGGUCCUCAAGAACAAACCCAGCCUGUACUGCCAGGUGAGCCGCCUGGGCCAGGCUGCAUUAUCACAUGGUGUUUUGGGAGCAUAAACAAGAUAGAUGUCUAAUGGAAGGAGAGCUUUAACUGGAGAAUCCUCUCUCCUGCAUAAACAAACAAAGCCUUUCAACACCAUUUGCGAGGCUUCUUAAGAGGAGCUGGGAAUCUGGCUGGCCUCUAUUGUUUACCAACCCCUUCCUGUGGACACAGGUGGCAGAUGCCAGCUCAGGUCGAGCAGGCCAGGCUUUUGCCAACAUCCCAGUGAGGGUGUCGGCCGAAGCAGAGAACAGCAAGUAGAGGAUUGUGCCUGCCUCACCCACUGACUUCAGAGCCGUCCGACUUUGGCGCUGUGAUGGAGGGCACCAAGAAGACCCGGGCUGUUGUGCUGAGGGACAAGCAGUCCAGGCCCCCUUCAAGUUCCGCAGCCGCUGGUCAUCCGACUCCGGGGCCAUGAUCGAGGGCGGGCGCCACGAAGACCCGGGCUGUUGGGCUGUUGUGCUGAAUGACAAGCAAUGCUAGACCUCUUCAAGUUCAGCAGCUGCCGGCCAUCCGACUCUGGCACCGUGACCAUGCAUGGGCGCCAAGAAGACCCGGGCUGUUUUGCUGAGGGACAAGCAGUCCUGGCUGUCUUCAGCUUUCACAGACACCGGCCGUCCGACUCUGGCACCGUGAUCGUGGGCAGGCGCCAAGAAGACCUGGGCUGUUGUGCUGAGGGACAAGCAGUCCUGGCCGUCUUCAAAUUCUGCAGCCGCCGGCCGUCCGACUGUGGCACCAAGGUUGUGGCCGGGCGCCAAGAAGACCUGGGCUGUUUUGCUGAGGGACAAGCAGUCAUGGCCCCCUUCAAGAUCCGCAGCUGCCGGCCGUCCGACUCCGGCACUGUAAUUGUGGGUGGGCGCUAAGAAGACCCGUGCUGUUGUGCUGAGGGACAAGCAGUCAUGGCCCCCUUCAAGUUCUGUAACCGCCGGCCGUUCGACUCUGGCGCCGUGAUUGUUGGCGGGUGCCAAGAUGACCCAGGAUGUUCUGCUGAAGGACAUUCCAUUGUGGCCCCGUUCAAGAUCCGCAGUCACAACAGUCUCUUUUGCAGCCUUUUCCCCUUUUGUGGACAGGUACAAGGCCCAGAACUGUCCUGGCAAGUCAGAGACUAUAACCAUCCUCAGCAACUCGCCCAUGGAUGUAGAGGUCCAAUUCUCCUUUGAGAAUGCAGAGCAAGCAGAGACAUUCCUUUUGCACCCUUGCCGCAUGACCCUGAAACCAAAGGAGAAGAAGGUUGGAGAAGGGCAGGUAGAGCGGGCACCGUUGAAGUGCCCAGGGGCUGCUCCUCCUGCUCACACUCAGAGCUCCUUUGAUUUCUUCAGUGGGGCCAUGUCCAGGAGCUGACCAUUUGGGCACACCCCACCUCCCCUGACUUCCUGGAAGACAAACUCAUCUGCAGCAUUGAGAAGAACCCGGAACCAGUGGUCUUCAGCCUGUGCUGCCAUGAGGUGGACAUGAAGCUGGACGUCAGCCCCCUGCAGCUCUCUUUUGACAAGCUGCUUCUUCACAGGCCAGUCAUCCCACAAGCACUCCAAGACUGGUGACAAAGAGAAAACAUUUGACUCUGGUUUCCGGGGCAUAGAUGGAGCUGCCCCAAGUUCCAUUCAGUGGUGAGGCUGGUGUACUCAUCCAGCAGCUGAUGCCAAGUGCCUUCCUGUCUCUGCAGGACUGAUAGCAAGACCUUGGUCGUGAAAACCAACACCCUACUGCCCAUGGCCUGGCAGCUCAGUGGGCUGGAUGACCUUGUUGAGCACUUCUCCUUGUCACAAGAUAAUGGCGUCCUUGAUCCCCGCUCAGAGUUUGAAGUGACACUGCAUUUCAAGGCUGAGCACAUUGGCAGCAUUGAGAAGAUUCUCUAAGUAGAGGUUUCAGAUACAGAAAACAUCCUGGGGCAUGUUCAGGCUAAAACCAUCGAAAUCUCUGCAGAGGUCUAUGUUUCUCUGAGCAUUGACAUGCCUGAAGGUUAGUGGAUGCCUCCCAAACAAAGCAGUCCAGGUGCACUGCAUUACCUUGGGAGGUGCAGAUGGAAGCUUGGAAUUUGGAACCAUUAAUGUCCUGGAUAAAGUGAAGAAAGUCCUGAGUCUACAGAACAAAGGAAUAUACAACACUGAGUACAGAGAAUUCAGCCACAAACCAGCAGUUCUUCACAGCUCAGCUGGAGCCCAAAGGAGAGCCCCAGAAAUUUCAGCCACUGAAAUGCUGAGACUCAUUGCCUUUUUUUGGUGGUCACCUCUUUUCUCUUUCUGAGACUCUGUAAAGGAGUGAAUGAAAAAUUCCAGUCUCAAGGUUUCUUUGCAGUAAUCUUGUGAAUGUCUGCACUCUCUGUCAAGAUCCAGGAUUGCCUAAGCAGAACUGGACUCCCCCUUUUUUUCCUGGUCCUAUGCAAAGUCCUGGCUGUGUUGGUGGCACCUGUACUUUUAACUGCAGAGAUCUGCAUUCCUUCCCUUUCUCCCCAGUUUCACGCAGAAGGGUGCAGGUCCUGUGAUGCAAGACUUGGCAUCCCACUUCACUGUUGAGCCUCAGUCAGGCAUGCUGAUUGCCUCCCAGCCUGAUGAGAAUGUUGAGAUGCUCUUCCACCCUGCAAGUGAAAUGGUCCUCAAGAACAAACCCAGCCUGUACUGCCAGGUGAGCCGCCUGGGCCAGGCUGCAUUAUCACAUGGUGUUUUGGGAGCAUAAACAAGAUAGAUGUCUAAUGGAAGGAGAGCUUUAACUGGAGAAUCCUCUCUCCUGCAUAAACAAACAAAGCCUUUCAACACCAUUUGCGAGGCUUCUUAAGAGGAGCUGGGAAUCUGGCUGGCCUCUAUUGUUUACCAACCCCUUCCUGUGGACACAGGUGGCAGAUGCCAGCUCAGGUCGAGCAGGCCAGGCUUUUGCCAACAUCCCAGUGAGGGUGUCGGCCGAAGCAGAGAACAGCAAGUAGAGGAUUGUGCCUGCCUCACCCACUGACUUCAGAGCCGUCCGACUUUGGCGCUGUGAUGGAGGGCACCAAGAAGACCCGGGCUGUUGUGCUGAGGGACAAGCAGUCCAGGCCCCCUUCAAGUUCCGCAGCCGCUGGUCAUCCGACUCCGGGGCCAUGAUCGAGGGCGGGCGCCACGAAGACCCGGGCUGUUGGGCUGUUGUGCUGAAUGACAAGCAAUGCUAGACCUCUUCAAGUUCAGCAGCUGCCGGCCAUCCGACUCUGGCACCGUGACCAUGCAUGGGCGCCAAGAAGACCCGGGCUGUUUUGCUGAGGGACAAGCAGUCCUGGCUGUCUUCAGCUUUCACAGACACCGGCCGUCCGACUCUGGCACCGUGAUCGUGGGCAGGCGCCAAGAAGACCUGGGCUGUUGUGCUGAGGGACAAGCAGUCGUGGCCCCCUUAAAGUUCCGCAGCCACUGGCCGUCCGACUCCGGCACCGUGAUCACAAGUGGGUGCCAAGAAGACCUGGUCUGUUGUGCUAUUGUGCUGAACGACAUGCAGUCAUGGCCCUUUCAAGUUCCGCAGUCGCAGCUGUCUCCUCUGCAGCAUAUUCCCCUUUUGUGGACAGGUACAAGGCCAAGAACUGUCCCACCGACUCAGAGACUAUAACCAUUCUCAACAACUCUCCCAUGUGGAUGUAGAGGUCCAAUUCUCCUUUGAGAAUGCAGGGCAAGCAGAGACAUUCCUUUUGCACCCUCGCCACAUGACCCUGAAACCAAAGGAGAAGAAGGUUGGAGAAGGGCAGGUAGAGUGGGCACCGUUGAAGUGCCCAGGGGCUGCUCCUCCUGCUCAUACACAGUGCUCCUUUGAUUUCUUCAGUGGGGCCAUGUCCAGGAGCUGACCGUUUGGGCAUACCCCACCUCCCCUGACUUCCUGGAAGACAAACUCAUCUGCAGCAUUGAGAAGAACCUGGAACCAGUGGUCUUCAGCCUGUGCUGCCAUGAGGUAGACAUGGCAAUCUGUAUGGACUCUUUAUUGUUUACCAACCCCUUCCUGUGGACACAGGUGGCAGAUGCCGGCUCUGGUCGAGCAGGCCAGCCUUUUGCCAGCAUCCCAGUGAGGGUGUCAGCCAAAGCAGAGUACAGUGAGUAGAGGAUUGUGCCUGCCUCACCCACCGACUUUGGAGACGUCCGACUUUGGCGCUGUGAUGGUGGGUGCCAAGAACGCGCGAGAUAUUGUACUGAAGGACGAGCAGUCCAGGCCCCUUCAAGUUCUACAGCCGCCGGCCGUCCGACUUUGGUGCCGUGAUCGUGGGCGGGUGCCAAGAUGACCCAGAAUGUUCUGCUGAAGGACAUGCAGUCAUGGCCCUGUCCAUAUCCGCAGUCACAACAGUCUCUUUUGCAGCCUUUUCCCCUUUUGUGGACAGGUACAAGGCCCAGAACUGUCCCGGCAACUCAGAGACUAUACCUAUCCUCAGCAACUCGCCCACGGAUGUAGAGGUCCAAUUCUCCUUUGAGAAUGCAGGGCAAGCAGAGACAUUCCUUUUGCACCCUUGCCGCAUGACCCUGAAACCAAAGGAGAAGAAGGUUGGAGAAGGGCAGGUAGAGCGGGCACCGUUGAAGUGCCCAGGGGCUGCUUCUCCUGCUCACACUCAGAGCUCCUUUGAUUUCUUCAGUGGGGCCAUGUCCAGGAGCUGACCGUUUGUGCAUACCCCACCUCCCCUGACUUCCUGGAAGACAAACUCAUCUGCAGCAUUGAGAAGAACCUGGAACCAGUGGUCUUCAGCCUGUGCUGCCAUGAGGUAGACAUGGCAAUCUGUAUGGACUCUUUAUUGUUUACCAACCCCUUCCUGUGGACACAGGUGGCAGAUGCCAGCACAGCUCAAGGAGGCCAGCCUUUUGCCGACAUCCCAGUGAGGGUGUCAGCCGAAGCAAAGUACAGCAAGUAGAGGAUUGUGCCUGCCUCACCCACCUACUUCGAAGCCGACUGACUUUGGCGCUGUGAUGGUGGGCGCCAUGAAACCCCAGGCUGUUGUUCUGAAGGACAAGCAGUCCAGGCCCCCUUCAAUUUCUAGAGCCGCUGGCUGUCCGACUGUGGCGCCGUGAUCGUGGGUGGGCGCUAAGAAGACCCAGGCUGUUGUGCUAUUGUGGUGAAAAAUAAGCUGUCCAGGCCCCCUUCAAGUUCUGCAGUUGCUGGCCGUCCGGCUCUGGCAUGCUGAUCAUAGGCAGGCGCCAAGAAAACCCAGGCAGUUGUGCUGUUGUGCUGAACAACAAGCAGCCCUGGCCCCCUUCAAGUUCCGGAGCCACCGGCCGUCUGACUGUUGCGCCGUGAUUGUGGGCGGGUGCUAAGAAAACCAGGGCUGUUGUGCUGUGGGACAAACAGUCGUGGCACCCUAAGAGUUCCGCAGCCGCGGCCUGUCCGACCGUGGUGCCGUGACUGUGGGCUGGUAACACCAAGACCCGGCCUGUUGUGCUGAGGGACAAGCAGUCCUGGCCCUCUUAAAAUUCUGCAGUCUCCGGCCUUCCGACUUGGUCGCCGUGAUUGCGAGUGGGUGCCUAGAAGACCUCAGCUGUUAUGCUGAACGACAAGUAGUCCUGGCCCUCUUAAAAUUCCACAACCGCUGGCCGUCUGACUCCGGCAGCAGGAUCGUGGGCGGGCGCCAAGAAGACCUGGACUGUUUUGCUGAGGGACAAGCAGUCAUGGCCCCCUUCAAGAUCCGCAGCUGCCGGCCGUCCGACUCCAGCACUGUAAUUGUGGGUGGGCGCUAAGAAGACCCGUGCUGUUGUGCUGAGGGACAAGCAGUCAUGGCCCCCUUCAAGUUCUGUAACCGCCGGCCGUUCGACUCUGGCGCCGUGAUUGUUGGCGGGUGCCAAGAUGACCCAGGAUGUUCUGCUGAAGGACAUUCCAUCGUGGCCCCGUUCAAGAUCCACAGUCACAACAGUCUCUUUUGCAGCCUUUUCCCCUUUUGUGGACAGGUACAAGGCCCAGAACUGUCCUGGCAAGUCAGAGACUAUAACCAUCCUCAGCAACUCGCCCAUGGAUGUAGAGGUCCAAUUCUCCUUUGAGAAUGCAGAGCAAGCAGAGACAUUCCUUUUGCACCCUUGCCGCAUGACCCUGAAACCAAAGGAGAAGAAGGUUGGAGAAGGGCAGGUAGAGCGGGCACCGUUGAAGUGCCCAGGGGCUGCUCCUCCUGCUCACACUCAGAGCUCCUUUGAUUUCUUCAGUGGGGCCAUGUCCAGGAGCUGACCAUUUGGGCACACCCCACCUCCCCUGACUUCCUGGAAGACAAACUCAUCUGCAGCAUUGAGAAGAACCUGGAACCAGUGGUCUUCAGCCUGUGCUGCCAUGAGGUAGACAUGGCAAUCUGUCUGGCCUCUUUAUUGUUUACCAACCCCUUCCUGUGGACACAGGUGGUAGAUGCCAUCUCAGGUUGAGGAGGCCAGGAUUUUGCCGACAUCCCAGUGAGGGUGUCAGCCGAAGCAAAGUACAGCAAGUAGAGGAUUGUGCCUGCCUCAUCCACCUACUUCGAAGCCGACUGACUUUGGCGCUGUGAUGGUGGGCGCCAUGAAACCCCAGGCUGUUGUUCUGAAGGACAAGCAGUCCAGGCCCCCUUCAAUUUCUAGAGCCGCUGGCUGUCCGACUGUGGCGCCGUGAUCGUGGGCGGGCGCUAAGAAGACCCAGGCUGUUGUGCUAUUGUGGCGAAAAAUAAGCUGUCCAGGCCCCCUUCAAGUUCUGCAGUUGCUGGCCGUCCGGCUCUGGCAUGCUGAUCAUAGGCAGGCGCCAAGAAAACCCAGGCAGUUGUGCUGUUGUGCUGAACAACAAGCAGCCCUGGCCCCCUUCAAGUUCCGGAGCCACCGGCCGUCUGACUGUUGCGCCGUGAUUGUGGGCGGGUGCUAAGAAAACCAGGGCUGUUGUGCUGUGGGACAAACAGUCGUGGCACCCUAAGAGUUCCGCAGCCGCGGCCUGUCCGACCGUGGUGCCGUGACUGUGGGCUGGUAACACCAAGACCCAGCCUGUUGUGCUGAGGGACAAGCAGUCCUGGCCCUCUUAAAAUUCUGCAGUCUCCGGCCUUCCGACUUGGUCGCCGUGAUUGCGAGUGGGUGCCUAGAAGACCUCAGCUGUUAUGCUGAAUGACAAGUAGUCCUGGCCCUCUUAAAAUUCCACAACCGCUGGCCGUCUGACUCCGGCAGCAGGAUCGUGGGCGGGCGCCAAGAAGACCUGGGCUGUUUUGCUGAGGGACAAGCAGUCAUGGCCCCCUUCAAGAUCCGCAGCUGCCGGCCGUCCGACUCCAGCACUGUAAUUGUGGGUGGGCGCUAAGAAGACCCGUGCUGUUGUGCUGAGGGACAAGCAGUCGUAGCCCCCUUCAAGUUCUGCAACCACCGGCCAUCCGACUCUGGCGCUGUGAUCGUGGACGGGUGCCAAGAUGACCCAGGAUGUUCUGCUGAAGGACAUUCCAUCGUGGCCCCGUUCAAGAUCCACAGUCGCAACAGUCUCUUUUGCAGCCUUUUCCCCUUUUGUGGACAGGUACAAGGCCCAGAACUCUCCCGGCAACUCAGAGACUAUAACCAUCCUCAACAACUCUCCCAUGGAUGUAGAGGUCCAAUUCUCCUUUGAGAAUGCAGAGCAAGCAGAGACAUUCCUUUUGCUCCCUGGCCGCAUGACCCUGAAACCAAAGGAGAAGAAGGUUGGAGAAGGGCAGGUAGAGUGGGCACGGUUGAAGUGCCCAGGGGCUGCUUCUCCUGCUCACACUCAGAGCUCCUUUGAUUUCUUCAGUGGGGCCAUGUCCAGGAGCUGACCGUUUGUGCAUACCCCACCUCCCCUGACUUCCUGGAAGACAAACUCAUCUGCAGCAUUGAGAAGAACCUGGAACCAGUGGUCUUCAGCCUGUGCUGCCAUGAGGUAGACAUGGCAAUCUGUCUGGCCUCUUUAUUGUUUACCAACCCCUUCCUGUGGACACAGGUGGUAGAUGCCAUCUCAGGUUGAGGAGGCCAGGAUUUUGCCAACAUCCCAGUGAGGGUGUCAGCCAAAUCAGAGAACAGCAAGUAGAGGAUUGUGUCUGUGCAUAACUCUAAACCUAGACAAGUAAACCAGCCUAGGGUUAGGGAUGGUCCCAAGAAAGAAGGGUUGGAGGCAAAGAACUUCUGGCACUUCAGCGCUCCCCUUGGAAUGCCUAUUGCAGCUGCAGUGUGCCUGGAGUUUAGGGCUUCCUGGUGUAAAAAAACCUAAACCACAGCCCAAACUGGAGGCAGGUAAAGCAACAUAGGAUUCUGGAUCCUCUCAAGGAAAAAGCGGUGGAGGCAGCCAUGUUGAGACACUUUUGCACUCCCCUUGUGAUGCCUUUUGAAGCUGCAGUGUUCCUGGAGUUUAGGGCUUCCUGGUUUAAAAAAACCCGAACCCUAGUGUCGCAGUCGAGGCGGUCACGACAUUAAAGCAGUGACCACAAGCAGUCUCCGUCUCAGUCUCAGUUAUCAACCGUUAGCAACCGUUGGCAACAGUUGGCAACACUUUAUUAGUGAAAAUGGCUCAUCUUUUAUACACUUUCGAGUUGCUUCCCAUUCAGCUGCAGAAUACUGUUAUCGUUCUUCUCUCGAUCUCCUUGGUUUUCAGCUUCUUCUUCUUACUUCUCUCUCCUUUAGCUAACAGGCCCACUGCUAGCCCCUUCCACAAUUCCCCCUUUUUUGUUUUUUGACCUGUAAAUACAGCUGCUAUAGAUUUUUGCAGGGCCCUUUGCAAAAACCCAAGCAGAGAGGGGACACACAAAAUCACAAUCACAACCAUCAACAAAAUUCCCAUUCUUAAUGCAAUUGUUCCUGUCCUUCAUCCAUCUUUACGUAUUGAUAUAUGGUCUUAUAUAUAGCCAGUGUCAUCCGCAUGUUCUGCUUCAGUUGCAGAACCAUCGAUCCUGUCCUUUCCCGCACGCUCUAGGUAAGGUUUGACACAGCGAGCAGGAACCCAUCGAGGACCAUUAUCUGUCAAAACACAAGCAUAACCCCUCCCCCAGGUUAUCAGUUCCACAUGACCAGACCAUAUACCAGUAAUCAAAUCCUUGACCCAUACCUUGACAUUUCUAUGGAAAUUUGGUUGCUUAUAAUUCAAAGAAGAAAAAUGGCAAAAGAUUGGAGAUAACUGUGAGUCAGGUAGGGGACGCAAGAAGUUUAACACAUAAACAACUUUAUCUAAUCUCACUUGAGGUGACUCCUGUUGCAUUCCCCCUUUUUGUUUUGAACCUGACAUUUAAGAAGUCCAUGAGCUCUUUCAAUAAUUGCUUGGCCCUUGGGGACAUGUGGAAUACCUGUUGAGUGCUCAAUGCCCCAGGCAUGAAAGAAUGCUUGCAUUUUUUGUGAAGCAUAUGCUGGGCCGUUAUCUGUUUUUACGUGAUACGGAACACCUAAAAUAGAAAAGGCAUGAUAAAAAUGAUGAAUAGCAUCUCAAGUUUUUUCUUCUGUGAAUGCUGAAGCAACCAUUGCAUGAGAAAAAGUAUCAACUGUAACAUGAACAUACUUAAAGCGACCAGAUUCUGGCAUUUUUGUAACAUCAGUUUGCCAUUCUUCUAACACAGAAAGACCUCUAGUGUUAGUACCAUAAUACUGAGUGACAUGAGUAGGCCACGAUUGAGGCCAGCAAAGUCGCAAGAGUAUUGUGACAUCUGCUCCAGUGUCAAUCAAACCUGUUACUGAUAUAGUUCCUGGAUGACAUCCACUGGCGGUGAGAGUGCAUGUCUUUUCUGGACGGCUCUCUGUUACUUUCUCAGUCCAGAACACUUGAGGUACUCCUGUCAAGCCAGAGCUUCCUGUGCCGUGACUUCAGUCCACUGUAUUUGGAACAGAACUCACAAAAGGUAUAAAUUGAGCAAUGCAAGUUCCUUUCUGAAUAGUGACAGGAGGAUCAUCAGUGGAUACCAUGGCAUGAAUCUGCCCUAAAUAAUCAGCAUCAAUAAGCCCUAGAUGCACAUGAAUACCUCUAAGUAUAGUACUUGAUCUCCCUAUCAAAAAUGCACUCAAUCUCCGUCCUAUCGGACCAUAGGCAUCAAGGGGUACCUUACAUAUUUCUUUUGUUAAAACGGUUACUGUGUCAGCUGUGGGUAUAUCAAUCCCUGCGGACCCGCUUGUUGCCCCUGAGUAUUGUUCACAAAUGGGUAGCUUUGCAGGGCUGGGAAGGCCCGCAUUUGCUGUUGUGGUUGUUGGGGUAUUUGUUUCCCCACACGCCCCCUCGCGCUCCUCUUUGGGUUUCCCGGCAAUAGCUGACCAUUUGCAUGAUAUUUACUCCUGCAUUGCUUAGCGUAGUGCCCAGAUUUAACACAAUGAUUGCAUACGACAUCGCUGCUUGCACUUGGCCUAAAUGUUGUUUUCUGGACAGUACACUGUGACUUUACGUGCCCUUGUUGUCCACAAUUAUAACACUUCGAUGGAGGUCUUAGCACUGCAGCAAGAGCUGCCAUUUUAUGCUCAACUGAACCAACUUUCGAGCAAGCAGUAACCAUUUCAGACAAGGUGGGUUCCCCAGGUAAAGUGUCAAUAAUCUUUCAAUCUGGGUUUGCAUUUUCUUUAGCCAAUUGUACGCACAAUUUGUCUUGCAAAGUUUCAUCAUCUACCUGUUUCUCAAUAGCGGCAGCAAGUUUUUCUGCAAACUGCAAAAAUAGUUCUCUCGUCCCUUGUUGUAUAGUGAUAUAUUUCUGUUUUGGAGCUGCCAUUUCCAUUGUUUUAGUUAAAGCAUUCAUGCCAAUUUGCUGAGCUUGUGCCAAAAUCGAAGGAUCCCACCUUGCCUGUAAAUCUGGAUUAGCAAAAGGCCCAGUGCCCAGUAGGACAUCAACACCCACAGCAUGACGAGGGUCGUGUUGAGGUAACUGCAUAUUUGUUAAAGCGGUGCGCUCAGCCACUCACCUCCAAGUUUCUUGAAAUACACCAUAUUGUACUGGCUGGAAUAGAAUUGUAGCAAGAUGAGUGAUGUCAUAAGGUGCAAGCAAAUCUGCAUUAAUUACAUGUAUUAAUUGCAUUACCUCUGAGGAAUUAAUACCAUACUGAGCUACUUUCAGUUGGAGGUCUUGCACAACCCUCCAGGCAAAGACGUGAUGACUGUCGUUCUGUCCUGUUCCAGGAACUGCUUUGAAAACUGGAAAAGCCAUAGGGUUAUCACAAGCAACAUUUGCAUUGGCACUGUUCUCCUGAGGUACUCUUGGAGCACCUAACCUUUCUGUGAUGUCCCAAUUCUUUUCUUCAACUGCUUUCCUCCUAACAAAUUCCCAAAACUCGAGGGUGUCGAGGAAGCACAGUUACUUGACAUGGAGGCAAAGUCCAUGGGGCAGUAAGGCUAGGGCUCUUAGGAGAUGAAGGGGCCAGAGCUCCUUGCCCCAACUCAGGUGUUACUGCGGGUGACUCAUCACUUGAUUCGCUGUUGCUGUCACUGUCAGGUAAAGGAGGAUACAGCCUUGCAGGUUGUUCAAGCCACUCAGAGGGGAGCCGGGGGCUGGACGGCUGGACCAGAGAGGAGGGAAGCGGUGCGGCAGAUGGCUGGGUUUCUCUCUCUGCUAAAGACAUUUCAGCUAACUGGCGUAGCAGUGUAGGUGUAGUAUAUACAGGCACCAUCGCGAGCUGCUGCGCAGGUGUGAGAUAAGGAGGCUUAGGGGUCUGAUAAGAGGCAAGGGCAGGUUGCCCAGAAGUUUUGGCAGCUUUCCCAGAAGCCUUGGCAGCUUUCCCAGUAGCUUUGGCAGCUUUCCCAGAAGAGCCCCCUUCUACCUCAGAGGCUCUCCCGUCAGGUUCUGUUAUCAGCCCCGACUCUUCAUCCGCAUCUUGCUCCGUUUCUCUCUCUAUUUUCCAUUCCUUUAAAGCCUCAAAGAGCGAGUUCCAAGUAACUGCUAGAUCAACAACUGUUUUAUUUCCCGCUUGAAUGACUUGCCAAAGUCUGUCGCCGACCUUUUUCCAUGCCUUAACACUAAAUGCUGUGUCGGGAUCAGUGCCAAAAUUCUGUGAUUUAGCCCACAGCAAUAUAUUACGAAGUGCGUAGUCUGACAUAUUAAUUCCUUAUUUCUUAACAAAACUUUCCAUGUAGACAGAACAUUUUCAUCCUCUUUAGAUAAAUUUUGUCCCAUUAUUACUAGUUGGUGGCUCACCUACUUCCAGGUGUGUUGAUUGGAGGGAAUCAGGUCCGGACCUCCCAGUGGCUUCCACCUGCCACUCUCAGCUGCACCAACGCCGCCUCCCCCACUACGUCCCAGUGGGUCACGGUUGCCAAUUGCUAGGACCCCGUAUGGGCCCCCACCGACUAUGUUCUUAUCACGUCGGCGGUCACCAAAAUGUCGCAGUCGAGGCGGUCACGACAUUAAAGCAGAGACCACAAGCAGUCUCCACGUCAGUCUCAGUUGUCAACCGUUAGCAACCGUUAGCAACCGUUGGCAACAGUUGGCAACACUUUAUUAGUGAAAAUGGCUGAUCUUUUAUACACUUUCCAGUUGUUUCCCAUUCAGCUGCAGAAUGCUGUUAUCAUUCUUCUCUCAAUCUCCUUGGUUUUCAGCUUCUUCUUCUUACUUCUCGCUCCUUUAGCUAUCGGGCCCGCUGCUAGCCCCUUCCACACCCUAGCUGUAACUGGUGGCAUAUAAAUCAGAUUAGGGUUAAGGAUGGUCCCAAUGAAAAAGCAGUGGAGGUAGCCAUGUUGUGGCAAUUUUACACUCCCACUAGCCUUUGGCAGCUGCAGCAUUCCUAGAGCUCAGGGCUUCCUGGUUUAAAAAGCCAUAACCCUAGCCCUAACUGGAGGCAUGUAAACCAACAUAGGGUUCUGGAUCCUCUCAAGGAAAAAGCGGUGGAGGCAGCCACAUUGAGACACUUUUGCGCUCCCCUUGUGAUGCCUUUUGCAGCUGCAGUGUGCCUGGAUUUAGGGCUUCCUCAUUUAAAAAAACCUGAACCGCAGCCCUAAGUGGAGGCAUAUAAAUCAGCCUAUGGUUAGGGAUGGUUCCUAGUAAAAAGCGGUGGAGGCAGCCAUGUUGUGGCACUUUUGCACUCCCCUUGGGAUGCCUUUUGCAGCUGCAGUGUGCCUGGAUCUCAGGGCUUCCUGGCUUAAAAAACUCUAAGCCUAGGCGUAACCCUAACCCCAACCCUAGGGAGGUAAAUCAGCCCAGUUUAACAUAUGGUCCCAAGGAAAAAGCUGUGAAAGCAGCCAGGUUGUGGCACUAUUGCACUUCUCUUGGGAUGCCUUUCACAGCUGAUGUGUGCCUGGAUCUCAGAUCUUCCUGUUUUAAAAAUCCCUAGCCCUAGGCGAAACCCUGCCCCUGAACUGAGGCAGGUAAAUCAGCCUAGUGUUGGGGAUGGUCCGAAGGAAAAAGCUGUGGAGGCAGCCAUGUUUUGGCACUUUUGCGCUGCCCUUGGGAUGCCUUUGGCAGCUGCAGUGUGCCUCAAGCUCAGGGCUUCCUGAUUUAAAAAACCCUAAUCCUAGGUGUAACCAUAACCCUAGGCAGGUAAAUCAGCCUAUGGUUAGGGAUGGUCCCUUGGAAAAAGCUGUGAAAGCAGACAUGUUGAGGCACUUCUGCGCUCCCCUCGGGAUACCUUUCACAACUGAAACGUUCCUGGAGCUCAGGGCCUUCUCGUUUAAAAAAUGCUAACCCUAGGCCUAACUGGAGGCAUGUAAAUCAGCCUUAGGGAUUGUUGUGGAGAGUUUUGUCAAAGAGUGGCUUGAGGAGAGGGGACACAGCCAAAUCAAUUUGGUAAAGAUGUCCUAACUAGGGCAGAGGCCCUUUUGCAGGCAGGGUGUCCUUGUUCACAAAGAAGAUGCUGAAGUUAUGCAAGGACGGGGUGUGGAAUGCAGAAGUUGCUAUUCUUGCUAACCACAGGAAUGUAGAUAAAGGCUAAAUUAGGCGGGGUUGACAUGUAUCUGAAUAGCCAGCCCAGAGCUCAGCUUUUGCAAUAUGUAUGAGGCUCAUUAUGUGCUGUAUUUAGGUUGCCGAAUCAAUCAAUAAAUUAGACCUGUUGAUGACCA